GAUGAACGCUGGCGGUAUGCCUAACACAUGCAAGUCGUACGAGAGUUUUUAACUCUAGUGGCGGACGGGUGAGUAACACGUGAGAAUUUACCUUUAGGAGGGGGGAUAACAAUUGGAAACGAAUGCUAAUACCCCAUAUGCUUUUGAGUGAAAUGGAUUUUAUAAUUAUCUGCCUAAAGAAAAGCUCGCGGCUGAUUAGCUUGUUGGUAAGGUAAGAGCUUACCAAGGCGACGAUCAGUAUCUGGUUUGAGAGGACGAUCAGACACACUGGAACUGAGACACGGUCCAGACUCCUACGGGAGGCAGCAGUGGGGAAUUUUCCGCAAUGGGCGAAAGCCUGACGGAGCAAUACCGCGUGAGGGAAGACUGCCUAUGGGUUGUAAACCGUCUUUUUUCAGGGUAGGAAGUAAAAUGACGUGUACCUGAGAAUAAGCAUCGGCUAACUCCGUG
rnacentral:rRNA from 1 species